UACGUAGGGACCAAGCGUUGUUCGGAUUUACUGGGCGUAAAGGGCGCGUAGGCGGCUUAACAAGUCACUUGUGAAAUCUCCGGGCUUAACUCGGAACGGCCAAGUGAAACUGUCAAGCUAGAGUGCAGAAGGGGCAAUCGGAAUUCUUGGUGUAGCGGUGAAAUGCGUAGAUAUCUGGAGGAACACCGGUGGCGAAGGCGGCGUUCUGGACUGCAACUGACACUGAGAAACGAAAGCCAGGGUAGCAAACGGG
rnacentral:rRNA from 1 species